AUUGAACGCUGGCGGCAGGCCUAACACAUGCAAGUCGAACGAGUGGCGGACGGGUGAGUACUGUCUGGGAAACUGCCUGAUGGUGGGGGAUCACUACUGGAAACGGUAGCUAAUACCGCAUACUAUCAGAUGUGCCCAGAUGGGAUUAGCUAGUAGGUGAGGUAACGGCUCACCUAGGCGACGAUCCCUCGCUGGUCUGAGAGGAUGACCCGCCACACUGGAACUGAGACACGGUCCAGACUCCUACGGGAGGCAGCAGUGGGGAAUAUUGCACAAUGGGCGAAAGCCUGAUGCAGCCAUGCCGCGUGUAUGAAGAAGGCCUUCGGGUUGUAAAGUACUGUCAGCGGGGAAGCGUUACCCGCAGAAGAAGCACCGGCUAACUCCGUGCCAGCAGCCGCGGUAAUAC
rnacentral:rRNA from 1 species